rnacentral:rRNA from 1 species
UACGUAGGGACCGAGCGUUGUCCGGAAUCAUUGGGCGUAAAGAGCGUGUAGGCGGCUAUUUAAGUCCUGCGUGAAAUCCUGCGGCUCAACCGCAGACGGUCGUGGGAAACUGGAUGGCUAGAGUGCGGGAGAGGAGAGUGGAAUUCCCGGUGUAGCGGUGAAAUGCGCAGAUAUCGGGAAGAACACCCGUGGCGAAGGCGGCUCUCUGGAACGCAACUGACGCUGAGGUGCGAAAGCGUGGGGAGCAAACAGGG